rnacentral:rRNA from 1 species
AGCCAAAUGCCUCGUCAUCUAAUUAGUGACGCGCAUGAAUGCAUUAACGAGAUUCCCCACUGUCCCUAUCUAAUAUCUAGCGAAACCACGGCCAAGGGAACGGGCUUGGGAUAAUCAGCGGGGAAAGAAGACCCUGUUGAGCUUGACUCUAAUCCGACUUUGCGAAAUGACUUAGGAGGUGUAGCAUAAGGGAGCUUUGGCGAUCUUGAAAUACCACCACUCUUAAUGCCAUUUUAUUUAUUCCGUUGAACUGAAGCUUGCGUCACAAUGAGUUUUGGAUUUAAAGUUGUCUCUUCUGGCGGCUGAUCCGUGCGGAAGACAUAGGCAGG